AGCUUACUAACGAAUCACACGAGAUGGAAUGAUUCAUCAGCUUUAAACUAAACUUGUUAAAUGAAUUACUAAUUGAGCCAAUUGCAUUUACUAAUACCGUGAAGCAUAGGUCAGGAGUAUUUAAUGAAAACAGACUAGAAAAAUUGUCACUAUUCUACAAAUCUUUCAUGAGACAAGUUCCUCUCGACUCUUGUUAAACAAAAACUUAAUUUACUGCUUAAAUUUAAGCUAAUUUCAAAUUAUUAUAAUAACGACGACGUAUUUCAUCAUAAUGCACAAAGUUAGCUGUAUAAAUAUUCUUCUCAUUGGUGCCUGCUGCCUAACGUUCAUUGUAUUAUCAACCUCUACCCCCAUUGAGCAUUCUUCGCUGGAACAUGAAAGUAGAAACCGAAGGGAGUUCGUUUCUGCGUACGGGCCCAGCCAAGGUGCAACGGAUUUAGCAGAACAAGCAAUGAAAUGGGAAAAACUCAACAAGAAUAAUUUUGAAAACAAAAAGAUGGUUUUAAUACCUCUUAAGAGUUAAUCAAUCAUACACACUUUUUCUGUCAAACAUGCUCACUGCAACAACUCAAUGAAUAAUAAUACUAUUAACGCUAAUAAUGGA